AUUUUAAUUUGAGAAAAAAUACAAAAAGAAACCAUGUACAAUCUAUGUACAAUUUUUUUGUACAAGACAGUAUAUUUAUCAGCAGAUUAUAUUUGACAGAGUCAGGUAGAUCAACUCAGCACCAUCAAAUAAUCCAUUUAUCCAUCACAUCUUGAACGCAUCCAAACUAAUUAGACUGCUGUGUCAAACUUCCGUUUGCUGCAAUGAUGAUGUACUAAGAAAUCCUAUCUGUGAUAAACAAGAGCAAUAUCCUGAAUUCUUCCUGAACUGAUAGGCAGCCAAAAAAAGCAAGUUUUCUUUAAAAAAAAAAAAUGCUGAAUGCAGUUUUCAUGUAUUAUUAAGACUUGAGACCCACCUCCUAUCCCCAUAAGUAUUUUAUGUUCUAUUAUAUAUCUAGUACAUUUCCCAACAAAUAAGCAAAAAAAUAGAUUAACAAAAAUAAUGCAACAUACUGUAACAGUAACAUAUGACGCGUCAGAGUCUUUUGAUUCGUUCAGUGGAUAACAACACAUCUGUGCAUCUUUCAGUCAUCCAUAUCUCAUUACAUUGUAUGACACAGCCUGCUAACCUUUAACAAAGCAUCUGGCAGAUAGGACAUGUGUGAUUUAUUGACUGAAGCUUGUAUCCAUCUGCCCCAUCAGCCCCUCGGGCCUCCUGUAUGCCACUUUUCGCUUUAGUGGGACUUAAUAUGGGCCCUCCUCUUGACCUCCUGCACUGCCUGGCACUAUACUGGCAUGGAGGCAUUGAUGGCUUGGAUGUUCUCCAUGUCAGUACAAGACUUUAUUCUCACAGUGGAAAACACGUGGACUCCCUUAAAGGAAGCCUGUGUCCCUGAAUGACUGAAGGAUGCCUGCUCAACUGAACUCUACAUGGCACUUAAAAAAAAAACACUCUAAAAACUUUAGAGGUAUACAAUGCGAAGAACAUCUGAAAAGAUGUAGGAAGGAGAGACAUCUCAGUCCAGUGUUGUGAGUAAUGCCAGCCUGAAUGAGUUGUGCAAUGAGGGUUCAGGUCUAAAAAAAAAAAAAAAAAAAAAAAA
ensembl:lncRNA